rnacentral:rRNA from 1 species
UACGGAGGGUGCGAGCGUUAAUCGGAAUUACUGGGCGUAAAGCGCGCGUAGGCGGCGUGAUAAGCCGGUUGUGAAAGCCCCGGGCUCAACCUGGGAACGGCAUCCGGAACUGUCAGGCUAGAGUGCAGGAGAGGAAGGUAGAAUUCCCGGUGUAGCGGUGAAAUGCGUAGAGAUCGGGAGGAAUACCAGUGGCGAAGGCGGCCUUCUGGACUGACACUGACGCUGAGGUGCGAAAGCGUGGGUAGCAAACAGGAUUAGAUACCCUGGUAGUCCACGCCGUAAACGAUGUCGACUAGCCGUUGGGGUCCUUGAGACCUUUGUGGCGCAGUUAACGCGAUAAGUCGACCGCCUGGGGAGUACGGCCGCAAGGUUAAA